UUUUAGGGCUCCUGCCAUGAGUAGUAUACAUAAAGCAGCUUGAUUGCUCUAUGUAGAAUUGACAUCAAGAGAUUUUUGGAAGCAUAAGCUUUUGCUAUCUGGGCAGCUGGUGAUUGUUGGUUUUGGUGCCCAC